UCGAGCCCCACCCCUUCCUUCUUGUUUCCUCUUCCGCAUCCCUGCGCCACCACUUCUCUCUCCUCUGCCGUCCCCUCCUCCUUGACCGCCUCUCCCCUCCUUUGAAGAAGGAGCACGGGGCCCGAUGCUAUGCCGCCAUUGCCGUCACCGUCGUCCUGCCUGAUCUGAGGCGCGAGUGGGAGGAGAAGGCGACGCACACCCUCGUCCCCAGCCGGCCAUCGACGUCGUCCUGCCGGAUGUAUUCUCCCUAUAAGGAAAAGCUGGAUGAUGGUUUAGCAUUUAAUCUUCAGAAUCUGGACUCCUUGACAACAUAUAUAUGGUGGCUGGGUUGACGCAAAGGGACAAAGAUUGUAAGUUUCAAAUAUGAAGAAUCUUAUCUGGUGUUCCUUGAACCGGAGGGUAGAGGUGUCCCUGAGCUACAUCUACAUGUCUCUCGCAACGCCUCGGUUCUGCAUAUUUCAUCAUUUUUCCUUUUUCGCCAAUUGUUCUCAGUAUGAUACUUUGGUAUCAGUUGCUCUUAUAUGUGCUAUUCCUUGUGUAAAAAUGAUAUCUUCUGCAAUAGUGUUACUCAAAACUUACAACCUCAUGGGUUUGUUUUGUUAGUAAAUGUUGAGAAAACAUUGAACUUUA